UGGAGUGCCUCCACAAAAGUAGACCGCCCAUGUAAUGACGGAGCUGUGUGCAUUUGCUGGGGGGAAGGCAGAGUCCAAUAGCACCAAAAAAGGCUUGCCGUCGAACAGAAGAUGGACCAUUGAAGGAAAAAAUCAUGGACAACGCGUUGAGGAAGCAGGAAUUGCAGACGAAAAUUGUAUCGUUCUGAGGAACAUGUAUUUGGAUUUGUUGGCGUUCGAAAAAAAUACACGUCGAUCGAGAAAGUUUAUAAAUUUGGAGGACAUCAUGGUGAUGAACGGACCGAAGAAACCGAAUGUUGCUGGAAAUCAGUGUUGGUGUUGUAUCGGUCGCAAUUUCGUUCAUCAAAGAAUUAUAAGUAAUGGAACCGCUUUAUAUUGCUUAAAGUGAACCAUGUGAGCUAUGAUGUGUCGUGAGAAACAGGAUCAACAUCACAUCGACUCGUGCGAUUGGAUUUAGCAGACGAAUUUUGAAAGGAAAAUUUGGAUCUGAAUUUCAAUAACUCAUGAAGGAUUAUUAUGUCAGGAAAUCGAAAUUGUAUUCCGGAACCGAUCCAAUUGGAACAUUGUAUGUUAGAUGCAGCUUCUGUUAACGAUCGAAAAUUAGGUUAGUAAAACCGUAUUUCCCAUAGCAUCUGAUACGAGAGGAUAGGUAUAGUUGACAGUUGAU